rnacentral:rRNA from 1 species
CCUACGGGGCGUAGCAGUGAGGAAUAUUGGUCACUGUACGCAAGUCUGAACCAGCCAUGCCGCGUGCAGGAAGACGGCUCUAUGAGUUGUAAACUGCUUUUGUACGAGGGUAAACGCAGAUACGCGUAUCUGUCUGAAAGUAUCGUACGAAUAAGGAUCGGCUAACUCCGGGCCAGCCGCCGCGGUAAUACGGAUGAUUCAAGCGUUAUCCGGAUUUAUUGGGUUUAAAGGGUGCGUAGGCGGUCGGAGAAGUUAGAGGUGAAAUCCCGAGGCUCAACUUCGGAAUUGCCUAUGAUACUGUUCGGCUAGAGAGUAGUUGCGGUAGGCGGAAUGUAUGGGGUAGCGGUGAAAUGCUUAGAGAUCAUACAGAACACCGAGUGCGAAGGCAGCUUACCAAGCUACUUCUGACGUGGAGGCACGAAGGCCAGGGGAGCGAAAGGGAUGAGAUACCCCAGUAGUC